rfam:Alligator mississippiensis ScZkoYb_35, whole genome shotgun sequence.
AAGUUCCUCAGGCAGAAGAAGGAAUUCUAAGACGCCGACAUGCAGGGCAAGUGCCCUCAACCAUUUAACUUGGGCUGAAACAAUCUCAACUUAUUCUCAAACUUUAGAUGGGUAAGAAGCCCGGCUCGCUGGCAUGGAGCCGGGCAUGGAAUGCAAGUGCUUAGUGGGCCACUUUUGGUAAGCAAAACUGGUGCUGUGGGAUGAACCGAACGCUGGGUUAAGGCGCCCGAUGCCGACGCUCAUCUAUGAAACUAUCAGAUAAAAGAGGUAUGCUGCUAGUGCUGAUCUUGCAAGGCCUAGAGUUUAGCCCAUGCACAUCUACUACUCUGCCCUUUAGAGGGGUCAGAA